ACAUGGUAGCUCUUCCGGCGGGUCCAUCUUAAUUGUUCCCUCAAUGCAUGGGUACAAGUUUUCGUCAGCAGAGCCCAGCAGCAGAGCCCAGCAGCAGCAGCACCACACGCCAGCCGAGCCCAGAGGCGCGCCCCCGCUGAGGGGAAGACCCGCCCUACUCGUGAAUUCGCCUUUGUUCCGAGUCUUGCUUCCCGCCGCGGGCGCGGGCUUUCUUUGUUCCUCUGCCUCGCCGCCAUCUUGAGCACAGGCCACCGCCGGGGGAGAGCCAGGCAUCGCUACAUCGCGGAUGCUUUGGGACGGUUGCACUGGAGCCUUGGCCCACAUGACCGGAACUGCUGUAACCUUCGUUGGAAAUUAGGGCCCCGCUUUACCUCCACGUUUACGGGGCCUUCAGCACUGCUGCUCCCUCCCGGUAACAAAACCCCUUCAAAUCGAAAGCCCUCUCCAGAGAAGUUUAAGAGUUUCAAGACCUCACCUUUUCCAUCAGCAAGCCAAGGGAAAUCUAACCAAAAGAUUUUUUUUCCCCAAUGGCAAAUACAUGGUUGCUUACUUAGCGAGUCUCCGAUAGAAAUCUCGCCAGCCGCGCGAACCAAAGUUCCUCUCACAUCUUAUUUUCGUUUUCUUCUCUGAUUAUUAAAGCUUGUGAUUCUCAUUUAA